rnacentral:rRNA from 1 species
AACGAACGCUGGCGGCAGGCUUAACACAUGCAAGUCGAACGCAUCGCAAGAUGAGUGGCAGACGGGUGAGUAACGCGCGGGAACAUACCCUUUUCUACGGAAUAGCUCUGGGAAACUGGAAUUAAUACCGUAUACGCUCUACGGGGGAAAGAUUUAUCGGGGAAGGAUUGGCCCGCGUUGGAUUAGCUAGUUGGUGGGGUAAAGGCCUACCAAGGCGACGAUCCAUAGCUGGUCUGAGAGGAUGAUCAGCCACAUUGGGACUGAGACACGGCCCAGACUCCGACGGGAGGCAGCAGUGGGGAAUAUUGGACAAUGGGCGCAAGCCUGAUCCAGCCAUGCCGCGUGAGUGGUGAAGGCCUUAGGGUUGUAAAGCUCUUUCACCGAUGAAGAUAAUGACGGUAGUCGGAGAAGAAGCCCCGGCUAACUUCGUGCCAGCCGCCGCAGUAAAAC